rnacentral:lncRNA from 1 species
AAAAUUUUAAGAUGUAUUAAAAAAAAAAAAGACAAUAACUUAAGAUACAACAAGACAGACUUAACAUUUCGGCACUAUAGAAAGAGUUAAAAUUAUUUCACCAUAUGAACAGUGAUGACAUUGAGUAAUGCGCUUAUACCAUGAGAUUCAAAGCAUUACUAUUGAUGUUUUAUUUUUAUACCACAUAUAUUCAUAUUACCAGAACUCA